AGAGUUUGAUCCUGGCUCAGAACGAACGCUGGCGGCAUGCCUAACACAUGCAAGUCGAACGGGGGUUCCGCUUCGGUGGGAUCCUAGUGGCGCACGGGUGAGUAACGCGUGGGAACCUGCCCUGUGGUACGGAACAACUCCGGGAAACUGGAGCUAAUACCGUAUGCGUCCUGCGGGACAAAGAUUUUAUCGCCAUGGGAGGGGCCCGCGUAGGAUUAGGUAGUUGGCGGGGUAACGGCCCACCAAGCCCGCGAUCCUUAGCUGGUCUGAGAGGAUGAUCAGCCACACUGGGACUGAGACACGGCCCAGACUCCUACGGGAGGCAGCAGUGGGGAAUAUUGGACAAUGGGCGCAAGCCUGAUCCAGCAAUGCCGCGUGAGUGAUGAAGGCCUUCGGGUUGUAAAGCUCUUUCGCACGCGACGAUGAUGACGGUAGCGUGAGAAGAAGCCCCGGCUAACUUCGUGCCAGCAGCAGCGGCGGUAAUAC
rnacentral:rRNA from 1 species